rfam:Ovis aries breed Texel chromosome 9, whole genome shotgun sequence.
UCCCUGGUGGCUCAGAGGUUAAAGCGUCUGCCUGGAAUUCAGGAGACCCGGGUUCAAUCCCUGGGUCAGGGAA